rnacentral:rRNA from 1 species
CUAAGUUUGAUGGCGACCGGCGCACGGGUGAGUAACACGUAUCCAACCUGCCGAUGACUCGGGGACAGCCUUUCGAAAGAAAGAUUAAUACCCGAUGGCAUAGUUCUUCCGCAUGGUAGAACUAUUAAAGAAUUUCGGUCAUCGAUGGGGAUGCGUUCCAUUAGGUUGUUGGCGGGGUAACGGCCCACCAAGCCUUCGAUGGAUAGGGGUUCUGAGAGGAAGGUCCCCCACAUUGGAACUGAGACACGGUCCAAACUCCUACGGGAGGCAGCAUG